rnacentral:lncRNA from 1 species
AUCGAUACUUCUUCCAGAAAGCUUUACGGACAGGGUUGAUUUAUAUUCUCUAACUUACUAGAUUAACUCUCGUCUGUAUCUACUCAGUUAGAUCAUACUAGUUUUUUUUCAGGCAUUGAGUCAAACAAUGGCUUGAUCUCAAUUAAUCCUAAGAUCUAAGUUUAAAGGGUGAUCAAUCCUAAACUUAGCUUUAAGCACAACUAGAGGAAAAACUAUAUUUUUAAACACC